CCCGCGCGUCAAAACCCUAGCCGCCAGCCCUGCGCCCACUCCACCUCGUUCUCCUCCCCGCUCGCUCCAUCCUUUCCCAUGUCGCCGCCCCUCUUCUCCUGUCUUGCGUCGGCCGCCUCCUCUUCUCCCGUCUCGCGUCGGACGCCUCCUCUUCUCCCUGCGUUGUCGGCCCCCUCCCUCCUCCUCCCUCCUUCGUCCUCACAGCCGACCAUCUCCGUCGCUUGGGCCCCAUGGCAGCGGCCGGAUCUUCCAGCCGGGAAAUCGAGCGUCUCGAUGGUGCUAUGACUGAUGCACGGCGACGGCUAGCGUCUGUGAGUGCCACACGCGGUGCAGCAGGCUCAGAGGGCAGCGGGCACGGCAGGCUCGGCAGGCAGCGGGUGCGGUGGUCAAAGCUAGGGGCGCGGAUUGGGGAGAUGCGCACACGAGGAGCGACGGCGACCGCGUCUGCCGCCAACACCGAGGCCAUACUGCCAGUACAGUCCAAGUGGAAUGGAGUACUCAGUUUUGCCACCGAGCGGAGACCAGCUCGCCGCGCAGCUGGAGCAGCGGGUUGAUGUGCCGCAACUAACACUUCGCCAUUGCCCCGACUCCUCCCCGCGGACCAUGGACCCACCGUGUAUGGAGAGCGCCAACGGGGUGAAGAUUUGCCAGACCAGCCGACUUGUGUGAUGUUGCCGCCGCCACAGACCCAUAGUCCUUCUCUUUGUUGGAGUCUUCCUUCUCUGUCUUCUUUUUCGGCAGGAGACAAAACAGUUUGGUGUCUUUGACAUGCUUGGGAUCGACACAUCGUUCAUGCCAUGGUUGGAUUUGAAUGGGGGCAGCCGUUUGAAAUCAAAUUCAGAAGAUACACAACCUAAGAUCGAAAUAUUCCUACCUGAACCAAAGGGUUCUACUGUUUGUGACGUGCUUCUUGUUGAUCAUCUGCUGCUUUGGCACGUCAAGGGCCAAUGCUGGUGUCAGGACCACUGCGAUCACAACCAAAGCCAAGUAGAUGCUGCUCCGCUCUCUACUGAAGAAGCAUUUAUAGGUUAUUCUAUGCAUAAGAUUGCGCUUUUAUGUGUCGUUUCCUUCAAGCUGUCAUUGCAACAGAAGAUGAAGUGUAUCUGUGUGAUGCCGCAUGUCGUAGUUCUAUCACUACGCGGACAUGUGCAAGAAAUGCAAGGAAGAUAGACCCAUAAAUGGCCGUGCAGUACCGGAGCCAGGAGCACCAGGGCGGCACCACCCGAGGUCAGUGCUUCCAUAGCUCUUUGUUUUUUUUAUUUCGUUACUCAUCUAUAUUCAAAGUGAAUGAAAUGUAUGCCUUGGUCUGCACUGUUCAGUUCCACAUGCAAUUUCUUUCCAUUAGCACCAUUAUGACCAUUAUUUCCUAUGCAAGCACACAAUUGAAAAGUUUGUUUGGAUGGUUAAUUUAGUUCUUUGUGUUGGAUCCACAUCUUCUCACGUCUGACAUCAUGAGGAACGGACCCCCUCGACACCAUCCUCUGCAGCGCUACUCUGCUGCCUCCGUUUGUCACAGUUAAGGUUUGUGAUCUCUUCUGCAUUCCGCUUUCCAGGAGUUCUUGCCUUCAACACUGAGGUGGAAUGGCUCUGCCCAUAGUUGUCUCGUGAAGGUGGGGCUCGAAGAAGUAUGGCCCUGAUGCGCUAGAUUCUUUUGUAACUCAAGAGGUUAUAUUUUAAUUGCAUGCACUUACUUUAGCUUAGGGGUUCAUCUGUACGGGAGCACAUCAUUGGAGAGAAAGAUCAUGAUCAAAGGAAAUAGGUUUCAGGCUCAUGCGCCUGUUUUCCUUUUUCCUUUUGAUGGGGCCGUUCAGGUGAGGUGAAGCAAGCAAGCACCUCCCCGUGUUUUAUAUGGCAUGAUGAACUACACGGUAGAGUUCAGCCGAAGAAGAAUCAGGUGAUUCUAGAUUGUUGUGUAAUUGUUUAUAUUCCUAACUGAGAUGGGAUUAUAGUUUAUUUGCUUGAUUAUUGGUCAUGUUUUACUUAGAUAAUCCAUUGAUGGUUGAUCUGGUUAAGUACAUAUGCUAUCCCUUGUUUGUUUAUAUUGCUAGCUGGGAUGGGAUUACAGUUUAUUUGCUUGAUUAUUGGCCGCGUUUACUUAGAUAAUUCAUUGAUGGUUGAUCUUGUUAGCUACAGAUGCUACCCCCUGUUCUGAACAAGCUUUAAUUUUGGUGGACUAAUCCCAGUUUGAUUUUAGGAUGUGCAUGUACCCAGGUGGAUCAAAUACAGAUACCAAUCAUAUAGUAUUGUUUUUACUCGUGUGUUUUUCUUGUGCCUGCCAAACAUUUCAAAAAUUGAUUAUAUCAUUCAGAUGUAUUCAGGCUGGGUUUCUAUGAUCCAAAAAAAACAUCUGCCAUGGCUUUCUUUUUUACAUACAAAACUAAGUGUGGAGUUGUGUAUAUGUUCAUUGCUUUCUUAUCACAUUGCAUUUGUCGGAGGUGCUGUACUGAUCUGAAGGAAAUGCUUUUAUAUUUCCAAGUUGAUCAACUACACAACUUCUGAUCCUAAAGCCUUUCUUUAAAAGGGGCUGGUCAAUGCAGCUCUCCAUGUUGUGCUAUCUUGUUAUUGGGCUCUUUUUCGUUACUUAAAAUGGUCAGAUAUCUCUGAUGUUAAAUUCGUGGUUGAUUGCUUAUAUUCAAAAUAACUAUGUUAGUACACUGAAGCCAAUUUUUACAUUGUUAGUGAAGUUGGCUAAAUAGUUUUUGUGCCACUAAGAUAUAUAUGUGCACUGCAUUCUAACCCUAUAAAUUGUUGUGCUAUUAGUUUAAUCCGGAAUAUAAUUAUCUCAGUACCGGUACACUCUGCAAUAUAAUUAUGUUAUAUUCUGCUUUUGUCAGUUUGCUGGUCCAUAUUAAUUUCCUCGAGCUUAUUUUCACAUCUCGUCAUAUUUACACCUCUCCGCCGACUGCCACCUAUCAUGGAGGGAGAUGGCUUGGCCAGGCCGUCAACACCCAUCGGCAACUUCCGGCAGGCGCCGUCCUGUUCUUCCUCCCCUUACUCUGAUGCUUUCAUGGCCAAAAUCAUUAGCAGGAGCAAGAAGGUUCUCUUAGUCUUUAAUCCUGACUAUAAAAAUCCAUUGAUGGAAGCUGGGGAGGGCCGAGAUGAACAUCCGGCUCCCUGGGUCUAAGCCGUCAAGAUGGUAGAGAUAACGUUUCCAUGUCAUCUACUCCAGCAGCCGGACAAGGCAUAUAAAACCAUAGAUCCUUGCUCCUCAGGCCGCAAAAUGGUCACAGCGAUGUCUACGACCUCCUCCUAGAUGUAUUAAUCUCAAUCUCAUGUUUGAUUUUCUUACCUUUUCUCUUCUAAUGAUGUAAUUUCUUUUACUAAGAUAACACCAUGUUUGUUGUAAUGCCUUAUUUGAUGUAAGAUCCCUUUUCUAUUUUGAAUGAAUUUACUGCAUAUA